rnacentral:rRNA from 1 species
UACGUAGGGCGCAAGCGUUAAUCGGAAUUACUGGGCGUAAAGCGUGCGCAGGCGGUUUUGUAAGUCUGACGUGAAAUCCCCGGGCUCAACCUGGGAAUUGCGUUGGAGACUGCAAGGCUGGAGUCUGGCAGAGGGGGGUAGAAUUCCACGUGUAGCAGUGAAAUGCGUAGAGAUGUGGAGGAACACCGAUGGCGAAGGCAGCCCCCUGGGUCAAGACUGGACGCUACAUGCACGAAAGCGUGGGGAGCAAACAAGGAUU